rnacentral:rRNA from 1 species
GACGAACGCUGGCGGCGUGCUUAACACAUGCAAGUCGAGCGGUAAGGCCCUUUCGGGGGGUACACGAGCGGCGAACGGGUGAGUAACACGUGGGUGACCUGCCUUUAGCUCUGGGAUAAGCCUGGGAAACUGGGUCUAAUACCGGAUAUGACCCUAUGGCGCAUGUUGUGGGGUGGAAAGCCUUGUGCGGCUAGGGAUGGGCCCGCGGCCUAUCAGCUUGUUGGUGGGGUGAUGGCCUACCAAGGCGACGACGGGUAGCCGGCCUGAGAGGGCGACCGGCCACACUGGGACUGAGACACGGCCCAGACUCCUACGGGAGGCAGCAGUGGGGAAUCUUGCGCAAUGGGCGAAAGCCUGACGCAGCGACGCCGCGUGAGGGAUGACGGCCU